CAGUAGCCGCGGUAAUACGGAGGGGGCUAGCGCUGUUCGGAAUUACUGGGCGUAAAGCGCACGUAGGCGGCGAUCUAAGUCAGGGGUGAAAGCCCGGGGCUCAACCCCGGAAUAGCCUUUGAGACUGGAUUGCUAGAAUCUGGGAGAGGUGAGUGGAAUUCCGAGUGUAGAGGUGAAAUUCGUAGAUAUUCGGAAGAACACCAGUGGCGAAGGCGGCUCACUGGACCAGUAUUGACGCUGAGGUGCGAAAGCGUGGGGAGCAAACAGGAUUAGAUACCCCAGUAGUCCCUGUCUCUUAACA
rnacentral:rRNA from 1 species